rnacentral:rRNA from 1 species
CCUACGGGUGGCAGCAGUGAGGAAUAUUGGUCAAUGGACGAGACUCUGAACCAGCCAAGUAGCGUGAAGGAUGACUGCCCUAUGGGUUGUAAACUUCUUUUAUAAAGGAAUAAAACGAGGCACGUGUGCCUUUUUGCAUGUACCUUAUGAAUAAGGAUCGGCUAACUCCGUGCCAGCAGCCGCGGUAAUACGGAGGGUCCGGGCGUUAUCCGGAUUUAUUGGGUUUAAAGGGAGCGUAGAUGGCUUGUUAAGUCAGUUGUGAAAGUGUGCGGCUCAACCGUGAAAUUGCAAUUGAUACUGGCAGGCUUGAGUGCAGUUGAGGUAGGCGGAAUUCGUGGUGUAGCGGUGAAAUGCGUAGAUAUCACGAAGAACCCCGAUGGCGAAGGCAGCUUACUGAACUGUGACUGACAUUGAGGCUCGAAAGUGUGGGUAUCAAACAGGAUUAGAUACCCUUGUAGUC